ensembl:lncRNA
AUUUUUAUUUCAAAUAAUUUUGAAUUUAAUUUUGGGGAUGUUCUUCCGCCUGCCAUUCCAUCCGACCCUGUGAAGAACAAAUAAAAGAGAACACGUGAGUGCAUUUAUAUUCAUUUUACAUUCAGUCAAAUGUCAUUGUACAUUUAGUCAAAACUUAAAUAUGUUAUGCCGAGGUUACGCUAGACUCGAGCGUGAGCACGUUCUAGAUAGCAGCCCAAGUGGCUACGAAAGCUAAGCAUUGCCGGAUAAUGUCGAAUAGUAAGAAGACGGUAGACGGGGUCUGGCAUUGCGGACGUUGCAGAGGCUAAACAACGUCAAUAUUCAUCCUAGAAACACGAAGUCAAGCCAACUCACUUUGCACUACAGCUGCAGGAAAUGCAUUAUAUAGUUUUUAUGUUAUUUAAUUUAAACUUUUUAGCGUUUAGUUGAUCAAUGUAUUAAUCCUGCAGUGUAUUUUACACCAAUACCACACCGGGAUCAUUAGCGUCAUCAUGCGCAUGCCCAGAACCACUAGGUAGCAAAAUCAGGAAGCAGAAAUUGGCAGAACACGUGUUCGUCAAAAAGCUCUAGAAUAUUUAGUUGCAGGUAGAUCUGUUCGGGAUUUAGUUGUUGAGCGAACCUUGUAUUGCAACGGAGAUUUGUUAGUGAACGUGUUAUCUCUGCUCUAUAAGGUGUCCGGCCGCCAUCCCCUAUUCACGUGCUUUUAUGUAUUGGAGAACCUGCUCAGCAAGCUGCAGUCUGCAACUUCUGCGGGAGGACUUUGUCUCCGCCCUCUUGUUCCUCCUGACGGCCUGAUCCCAAUCAUCUAAACAGUCAGUACUCCGAUUAAUGUGGAGUCACAAGGGACACUGAAAAGUGGUUCUGGGUGCUGGUAUACACGGCAAAGCUGACUUCCAUCCCUCUCCUCUAUGACCUCGCAGCAUUCGCGGCGAUUCAAAAUAAAAGAAGAAUUGGACCUCUGCCUACCAUGCUCCAUUGGCUGUCCAGCGCAUUCCUCCAGCCUUUUCACCACUUGUGACAGGGGGCAUCUUCCACUCCUUACCAUCCUCUUUAUUUUCUUGAGACAAUUUUCAAAUUUAAAAGCGCUACAAUUGUCCAAUCCUCCAAAGGUCACGGCAUCCUCCACAAUGUGCAACAUUGAGUGCACGUUGUAGACCAGAAACUGGUUACCAUAAAGUUCUCGGCCUCUCUCAACAAAGAAUCGAAGGAGAUCAGCAGCAUAUCUCCAGUGUUGCUCGACCAAUGCUGGACUUACAACUCUUUAAGAUCUCGAGCGAAGCUGGAAGGGAUGUGUGGACGGAGGUUGGUGAGCCUGCUGCUGACCUCCUCUAUUUGGGUUGCCGACAUCUUCAGGCCCUUCACUCCUCUGCACCACAUGAAGAGAAGCCUCUUCAUUACAACCAAGCAUGCCUGGUGCAUGUAAUCGAUGGGAAAUGCACUGAUCAUGUUUAUGGGUAAAUCCAAAAG